GUCUGAUAGCAUUUUAUAAAGCUCUAACAACAUGGGGAAGAUGGGUCAACCGCAACGUUGACCCAUUGAAAACCAAGGUGUUUUUCCAAGGAGUUUCACCUACCCAUUACGAGUAAGUAUAUGCGUAUAUGCACUGUCUGUGUAGAUGAUGUAUGUAUAAGUGUUGGGAACUUGGGGGAGAUGGGUCAACGUUAAGGUUGACCCAUUGAAAACCAAGGUGUUUUUCCAAGGAGUUUCACCUACCCAUUACGAGUAAGUAUAUGCGUAUAUGCACUAUAUGUAUAGAUGAUGUAUGUACAAGUGUUGGGAACUUGGGGGAGAUGGGUCAACGUUAAGGUUGACCCAUUGAAAACCAAGGUGUUUUUCCAACGAGUUUCACCUACACAUUACGAGUUAAGUAUAUUUAUAACAACCACUAUAUGUAUUUACAUGUGUUGGGAAAGUUUCUAAAGGUGAAAUCUUUGUGGGAACAGGGGCA
rnacentral:lncRNA from 1 species